rnacentral:rRNA from 1 species
AUUGAACGCUGGCGGCAGGCCUAACACAUGCAAGUCGAACGAGUGGCGGACGGGUGAGUAAUGUCUGGGAAACUGCCUGAUGGAGGGGGAUAACUACUGGAAACGGUAGCUAAUACCGCAUACCAUCGGAUGUGCCCAGAUGGGAUUAGCUAGUAGGUGGGGUAACGGCUCACCUGGGCGACGAUCCCUAGCUGGUCUGAGAGGAUGACCAGCCACACGGGAACGUAGACACGGUCCAGACUCCUACGUGAGGCAGCAUGGGGGAAUAUUGCACAAUGGGCGCAAGCCUGAUGCAGCCAUGCCGCGUUUAUGAAGAAGGCCUGCGUGUUGUAAAGUACUUUCAGCGGGGAGGCGUUACUCGCAGAAGAAGCACCGGCUAACUCCGUGCCAGCAGCCGCGGUAAUUC